rnacentral:sRNA from 1 species
UCCUAGGCUGGUGUUGCUUAUUCAACCGA